rnacentral:lncRNA from 1 species
UUACAAAGAUUACAGUUAUUCUCAGUGGUGGCAGAUGGUGUAACAAGGGGGUAGAGGGACAAAUUUCAGCUUCAGGGUGUUCAGGCUGGCCAUUAGGAAAAACUUCUUCGUGGGAGGGUGGUGUGGCAUGGGAACAGAUUGCCCAGGGAGGUGGUGGGUACUCCAUCACUGUAGGUUUUGGGGACUUGGCAAGAUGAAGUAAUGGUUGACCUGUUAUUGCAUUGGUGAUACUCCAGCUUCAGGCAGUAGGUUGGACUAGCUGACCUUCAGAUGCUCUUUCUAACCAACGUUUCUGUCAUUCUAAUAAUUUCAGUAUUACCGCGUAACAAAGCCAACACAUAAAAUACCUACUGCAGUAUGUUUGUAACUCUGUCCCAGGCGACACCGGGUAGAGGUACAGAGGGAGCAGGAGUCACAUGGAACAGGAUUAUGUACAUGGAGAUCUUGUACAUGGUGGAGGCAGUGUAAAUGUGUGACAGAGCAAAGUAAUCUUUUUUUUUCUUUUCUUUUCUUUUUUUCUUUUUUUCUUGUUACAGAGUUUAAGACAGCAGACCAAGCCUGUACUGGAAGAUUCGGGAGACAGCUGUUCUAAAGGAGCAGAGCCAGAUGGUCACCCGACCGCUACCUCUCAGAGCCUAGAAGAAAUGGCAAGAGAAGGAAGGCAGGAAUGUCCAUCUGAUCUUGUUCACCUGGACAUCAGGCAGUUCUCAGACCAAACCCACCAGGAGGAUAAAUGCAACAGCAGGAGUUUGGGAGCUUUUAAUGAUGCGCCAAAUGACUUGCUGAGCCUGGGGGAUGCAAAGAGCUCAGAGUGCUUCUGUGAAAGUAAAAAUAAAGUGACGUUGAGUAAAAAGGAAGAGGAGGGGCCAACCUCUGCUGAAGGCUCUGGGACUAUAUCAGAUGAGAACGACUGCACGGUGAGCCUGUGUGCAAGUGUAAACAAUGCCGUAAAUCUUCCAUCCUGUGGAAAUACAAAUGAGGAAGCUGGAAUGACAUCUGCUGGAGUUGUUCUGGAUCAAGCUGGCUUGUGCAGUAAAGAUAGUCCCCAUCAGGAAGUGCAAGCUGCUGAGGAGCGUGCAGCUGAGAGUACUGUUACUGUGGUUGAAACUACAGGCAAAGCCCCAGCUUCCUUGGAGGGCGUGGAUGUGGCUAUGGGCCAAACUGAAUGCAGGAACUGUACAGGGGCAGCUGAGAGGGCUGCGGGCCAGCAGCAGGGAGAGGAUGGGAUGGCUGAGGCUGGUGAAAGGAGGACUGCAAACAUAGAAGAGCAAUUGCCAGCUAAGGAAGAGUCAGCCAGUGCCUCUCAGCCCUUACUCGGUGGUUUUAAUGGCACUGAGAGUGCAGAUGGGGAGGAUGCAAAUGUGGGAGUGGUGUCGGCGUGUGACAGUACAAAUGCAGAUGAUGGCACUGGCAUUGUCUCCAUUGACCUUUGCAAGACCAGCAAUAACAAAGAGACUGGAGCAGACACUGAUCAGGUAAAAAGUGGCUUCUUAGAAAGCCAAGGAGACGCCCAUGCUGCAGCGAGGCAGGAUGUCACUGCAAGUGCUGGGGCAGCGUUGCCAGCGGUGAAUGGGGUGAAGUUUCCCACAUGUGCAUCAAAAGCUGAUCCUGGUUUGGAAAUCCUUGGCAGCGGGGAGCAAGAAGGGCAGAUGGAAGCAGGUUGCACAGUUGGGAAAUCCAGCUUGCCCUCCCUGAAAGACAGUAUGGAAACUGAUGGCCCUGAUGCUGAACCUGAAAACAGUGAUGCUGGUGGAUCUAAUCAAAGCGGUGCAGAACCUGCACGUUGCCAGGAGAGCGGUAAGAUCACUGAACGUGCAGCUGAAGCAAUGGAGGGCAGCGAAGCCCGUGAAGAGGAGCCAGCAGGAGCCGAUACCAGCAGCAGUGGAGAUGGAGGAAGUGCAUAUGCUGCAGAUGGAGUUCAGGAAGUUGCUAGCUGUCACCCUUCUGCUGAUCAAACUGUUGUUGAAGAUGAAAUGGGUGACAGCUUCAAACCGGACACUGCUCAAGAGAGCAAAUAUGAGCCUGCGUCGCUCCCUCUGGAGGAUGCCAGCGCAUGCCUGGCAGAAAAAGAACCUGCACAAACUGAAGCAGAGAUAGCAGAAAGUGCUUCGGAGCAGGAGGGGCUGAGCAGCAAGAUGCAAUCACUCAUUCCCCUACCCAGAGGAGAAGGACCGGCUGUGAGUCAGGAGGGAGAUGCUGCAGUGGCACCUCCCGGGCAGGAGGCAGCUCUGCAAGUUAACGACCCUGGGUUAGCUCUGUGUGCCAAGGGCACAGACUGUGUGGAGGAUAAUUUAAUAGGCACACCCUCUGUAACUCAUAAUGAAGAAUCUAAACAAAACCAGGAAGCAGUGACGGUGGCGGCAGGCUCAGCAGAGCUUGCCCAGCAGCGUGGCGGGGAGCAUGGCAAGGUAGCUGCCGGAGCCGGCUGGCCUGAGGACCAUGCAGGGGAUGAGGGCUCUCCGGAGCAGAGCCUCUUGCAGGAGGCUGAAGGAGGCAAAGCUGAGCCUGAGCAGGGGGCUCCUGCAAGUGGCAGGGAGCAGGUCUUGUCGGAGGAACUUCGUGCUGCUGUUGUGAAACCCUCUGCCUGCUGUCAGGAGGGGCCUGUGGCAGGUGGCAGCGAUGUGGAUGCUGAGAUGAAAGGGACAGCCCGUGCCAAAGAAGCGUGCAAGACCAGGGCAGUGGGUGCAGGAGAAAGCACCAUCCGUGAACCUGCAUCAGCAGGCAGGUCACCAGGUGUGGAGAGUGACCCUUGUCCGGAUGCGGCCCUGAACCAAGAACAUUAUCCCAGUCAAGCCCUACAACAAAUCUCCCCACGCAGCAGUACCCCCGAAUUAAAGGAUGCUUCAGAAAUGAGAGCCCCGAGCGAUGCCUGCGAGGCGGAGACACCUUGUUCUCCUGAAUUACCAGCCACAGAAAAAGUGGGGCUUGAGACCCAGGCUGCGGUGGAUGUGGGAGCCAGCCUUAAUGGAGAAAUGGAUUUAAGUUCCUCAGCGAAGAAGAGGAACGUCAGCCCAGCAGUGCAACGAGCUGAGCCUGUUACAGGUAGGAAGAAUCAGUUGGUUUCCUACUUUUUAGGUUUUUCUUUGUAGGUGUGCCUCUAGAAUCUCAUCAGGAAAGGAAGGGAAAUAAGAGCAGGAGGCCUGCCUUGUGGAGGAAGUAUAGGUGUUUGGGGUUUUUCUUCGGAGAAAGAAAUCUGAAGUUACAUAUUAAAACUUCCAGUUCAAAUGCAUGUUUCUUGGCUGGCACUGGAGAUAAGGGCAGGACAUCAUCUCCUGUGAAUUUGUGCAGAAGAAUUUGUAACACCUGAAUCCUCCCUGGAGAGGAAUGAAUGGGAGGGAGCUAUUUGGAUUACUUGUAUCUUCAAGUUAUACACUUUCACGUGGGC